UACGAAGGGGGCUAGCGUUGCUCGGAAUCACUGGGCGUAAAGCGCACGUAGGCGGAUUGCUAAGUCAGGGGUGAAAUCCUGGAGCUCAACUCCAGAACUGCCCUUGAUACUGGCGGUCUCGAGUCCGGGAGAGGUGAGUGGAACUGCGAGUGUAGAGGUGAAAUUCGUAGAUAUUCGCAAGAACACCAGUGGCGAAGGCGGCUCACUGGCUCGAUACUGACGCUGAGGUGCGAAAGCGUGGGGAGCAAACAGG
rnacentral:rRNA from 1 species